rnacentral:rRNA from 1 species
CCUACGGGAGGCUGCAGUGGGGAAUAUUGGGCAAUGGGCGCAAGCCUGACCCAGCCACGCCGCGUGAAUGAAGAAGGCUCUAGGGUUGUUAACCUUCUUUAAGAGGGAAGUGAAGAAGACGGUACCUCUUGAUUAAGCUAUGGCUAACUACGUGCCAGCAGCUGCGGUAAUACGUAGGUCGCAAGUGUUGUCCGGAUUUACUGGGUGUAAAGGGCGUGCAGCCGGGAAGACAAGUCAGCUGUGAAAUCCCGCGGCUCAACCGCAGAACUGCAUUUGAAAAUGGUUUUCUUGAGUACCGGAGAGGUCAUCGGAAUGCCUUGUGUAGCGGUGAAAUGCGUAGAUAUAAGGAAGAACACCGAUGGCGAAGGCAGAUGACUGGACGGCAACUGACGGUGAGGCGCGAAAGCGUGGGGAGCAAACAGGAUUAGAUACCCUUGUAGUC